rnacentral:rRNA from 1 species
GUGGGGAAUAUUGGGCAAUGGGCGCAAGCCUGACCCAGCCACGCCGCGUGAGUGAUGAAGGCCUUCGGGUCGUAAAGCUCUGUGGGGAGGGACGAAACGCCAUCGUCUAAUAGACGGUGGUCUGACGGUACCUCCUUAGCAAGCACCGGCUAACUCCGUGCCAGCAGCCGCGGUAAUACGGAGGGUGCAAACGUUGCUCGGAAUCAUUGGGCGUAAAGCGCGCGUAGGCGGUUCGGCAAGUCGGAUGUGAAAGCCCUCGGCUCAACCGAGGAAGUGCACUCGAAACUACCGAGCUAGAGUACCGGAGAGGGUGACGGAAUUCCCGGUGUAGAGGUGAAAUUCGUAGAUAUCGGGAGGAACACCAGUGGCGAAGGCGGUCACCUGGACGGAUACUGACGCUGAGGUGCGAAAGCGUGGGGAGCAAACAGGAUUAGAAACCCUUGUAGUCC